CGACGACACUCUGGAGAGACCCCGGACGGGGCGCCGAAGGGAUAGCGAUCUCAGGCCAAAGGACAGAGGGGGCAUU
rnacentral:ncRNA from 1 species